GGAUGCAGUACGACCCCAAAGACUCAAAGCGACACAUAGAACACGACAGCAUGACACUGGCCAAGGGUGCGACAACAGGGAGGGUCUUGGGCGUUUCAGAGGAGAAAGCACUUAGGUUAAGAGACGAGCAGGAAGGAGCCGGGACUCGGGCCAGGCUGCAAUCUGGAAAGGGUCUGAACUGUGGACACCUGGGUUGAAACACGGUCACGUUCACCUGCUGUGGUGGCAACAGGCUACCUGUCAGCCUACCUAGGAUUGCCUGGUGGUGGGAGGCGUGCCUAAGAGAACAUGAAGCGAGAUGCCUUGUGGGAGAUUAAAGGCAGAAAUAAGGCCGCUAGUUAGCUUGCCAACUGCAAAGCCUCUAGGUUGGUUCUUUACCAGUUGCCAGGAAUUUACCGGCCACCAGAGGGUAGAAACAGGUGGGCCGCACUGCACCUAAGGAGGGCUGCUGGCCCCGGCAGAGGUGGGAGCUGAGCUGCGGCUGCCUUUUCCUGGUCUUAGUCUAGCCCUAGGGAAAGGCUCGUUGGGAAGUCACAGUUUUGUGGGGUAGAACCGUGCUGGGUUUGUGUGAAUAGUCAUCCACGUGGAUCGGCAGGAAGCGUGACCGUGUGAGGUGGUGGUUUGCUGAAAUCCUUCUCUGGUCGUAAGGCUUGAGCGUUUGGUUUUUGUUGGUUCAGUGCUACAGACCGCAGCUUCUGUGGCCAGUGAGCUGGCAAGUCGUCAGAGGGUCUCGAUUUGUGGGAGCUAUGGGCGGUCCAGGACAUUGCAGAGCAGCCAGGUCGGGGGCAGCACAUGCAGCGAACAGCCAUGCAGAACUCCCGGACGGGUCUUUUCCAUCCCAGGGCGGGAACAGUGUGCCAUCGCAGACAUGAGAUUAUGAUGAGGAGUUGGCUUUUCUGACUGAGGAUUAUACUGAAGACUGGUCCCAGACCUACGAGCAAAAGGAGGAGGAGCAGUUUUAGCCACCAGAGGCCAGAAAUUGCUGUGCUCUUUGCAUAAUCCUAACAGGAAGUUUGCAGCACCUGGUUCCCCUCUCAGCGGUUAAUGCUGAGUGCUGGGCAGGGUGGCAUCAACUAGCAGAGCCAACCCUCAAAGCUUGGAGUCCAUCAGGGACUGAAAUUCACUAAAAAGUCUCAAAGGCUAUGAGUAUUUCUACUGUUACACACACACACACACACACACACACACACACACACACACACCAUCUUAUGGAGC